rnacentral:lncRNA from 1 species
GGAGAGUACUGCGGCUUCCAGGGGAGAGGUCGGGGGCGGGCGUGGCCCAGCCCUGGGCUGAGGGAAGGGGCGCUCCUCGGCGCGGCGCCCUCGGCGGUCACAGAGGGGCGGCUGUUCCUGCACCGCUGACAGAGGCGAAAGAAACGUUGACAGACUUACAAGUACGGGCAGUGCGGCUCCCAGCGUUACCUUUAAGCGCUACCCAGUGUCCUGAGAGGAUUCAUUGUGAGAAAAGUGUCAGUCACAGUUUUAAGACCUUACUUUGAAAGGAAUUAAGGAGAAAGCAAAUUGGAAGGUAAGAUUUCAUCUUUGUUUUUGUAUUGAAAAAGUUUCAAUGAGUGUAUUAUAAAUGUAUCUAAGCC